UUUUUGGAAGUUUUUUUGCAGUGUCGCGCGCCGCUUUGCGCUUGGGGUGAAGCAUUCAUUGGGCUCUUGCUUGCGGUGUCUGAUCAACAAAAUCAGCUAUCAGCUAUUUGCUUGAGGUAAGGGGUGAGUUACCGCUCUUUAAAAAAGAACGAUAGAUCACUCACUCACUUUGGAGAACCAGCUCUUUAGAUCAGUUCGUGAGCGGAUUGCCCACCUCUACCGGAAAGUCCCAGCCCAACACUACUGACUAACGAUUGAAAAUUUUUCAAAAAUUGUCGGUUUUGAUGCGGAAGAUGACCUGGAUUCAUUCAAACCUACAAUUCCAAUUGACAAACGUCAAAACCACAAAGCGAAACAAAAAAAGGGACGAUGACGAACGGCGCAAGCAGCACAUUCACCCAGAGAUCAAACAUUUAUUUAAGCAUCCUGAAAUGAGUUUGCAUCGAUGAAGUGACAGGGAUCAUCUCUAGGAUUGAAUUGAGGUUAUUGAAUUAAAAAUCUAGAAC